rnacentral:rRNA from 1 species
AGAGUUUGAUUCUGGCUCAGGAUUAACGCUGGCGGCAUGCCUAAUACAUGCAAGUCGAAUGGGGAGCUUGCUUCCCAUGGCGAACGGGUGAGUAAUACGUAGGUAACCUACCUUUAGGACGAGGAUAACCUUUGGAAACGAAGGAUAAUACUGGAUAGUAUAGAUUUCCGCAUGGAGAUAUAUUUAAAGAUUUAUCACCUAGAGAGGGGCCUGCGGUGCAUUAGCUAGUUGGCGGGAUAAAAGCCCACCAAGGCGAUGAUGCAUAGCCGGACUGAGAGGUUGUACGGCCACAAUGGAACUGAGAACGGUCCAUACUCCUACGGGAGGCAGCAGUAGGGAAUUUUCGGCAAUGGGCGGAAGCCUGACCGAGCAAAUGCCGCGUGAAUGAUGAAGUAUUUCGGUAUGUAAAGUUCUUUUAUCUAGGAAGAAAAAACAAAUUGACGGUUACUAGAUGAAUAAGCUCCGGCUAACUACGUGCCAGCAGCCGC